CUGGCGAGGACCUGCGGGAGCUGGUGUGGGAUCUGGAACAAUCCAGCGUGAGGCCCAGGGUAUGGACUUGGGGUCCGACUGCCUAGGUCCAAAUCCGGGCUCUAUCCCUCACUAGUCUGUGAUUGGGCCAGAGCCUUCACCUCCCUGGACCUCCGUUUCCUCACUGUAAAGUGGGACGGUGUGAUAAUAGACAUCUUACCUUCAGAGUUGUGUGGGGAGAAGGAAUGAACUGCGGAAAGCCUCUAGCAGACGGCCCACUGAACCGUGAGCGCGGUCCUGCUGACUGAGGGGCUCUGCGCAGCCUCACGGCCUCGCUGCGCUCUCAAGGCCGCUCGUGGUUGUGUGGAGAUCACAGCAAUGGGGGCGAGAGUGGACGCCGGAGUGCAG
rnacentral:lncRNA from 10 species